UAUAUAUAUAUAUUGUAUAUAACGCUGAUAAUAAUUUGAACUACAACGAGAAUGAAGAUUGGAGUAUUUGUAGAGUUUUGCUGCUGUGUGUUAUAUCCUGUGCUGGUGAUCUGUUUCUAUCUUCAGCAGCAGAAGCUCACUCCUCCUCAUCUGCUCCCACACGCUGACGGUCGGGCACUUCCUGGAUGACUUCAUAGUGCAGCUGACUCGUGCUCCGUUACUAUCGAGGGGACGAGGUGACGAGCAGCACCUUCUCCAGUCAUUUCUGUCAAAUAUGUUGAGAGAGAUGGAGGGCAGCCAGAAAAAUGCGAUGCUGGAAAACAAAGCCUGUGAAACACGUCUUCUUCGUCAGCUGAUGAUUUCAAACCUGCACUGAAAAAGACGUGCUAGAUAUUUUGAAGAUUGGAGUUAACCGGGAAGAGAAACUUUUUUUCUUCAACUUGAAAAGAUGCUCUGAACCGCAAAAAAAGACCAGCGUGGCCCAGCACUACUUUUUACAAUAAUUUUUUUUUAAAAUAACCACCUUCAGUCCC